rnacentral:tRNA from 2 species
AAGGAUUUAAGUUAUUUAAACUAGAAACCUUCAAAGUUUCAAAAAAAGAGAGCUUCUUUAAGCCUUA